rnacentral:misc_RNA from 1 species
GAUGAAGAACGCAGCGAAAUGCGAUAAGUAAUGUGAAUUGCAGAAUUCAGUGAAUCAUCGAAUCUUUGAACGCACCUUGCACCCUUUGGCAUUCCGAAGGGUAUGCUCGUUUGAGUGUCAUUGUACUCUCACACUCCCAAUUGCUUUGGAUUGGGAGCGGUGGACUUGGGUGUUGCUGCUUGACUGAGGCUCACCUGAAAUAUGUUAGUGCACCUCUUGAUUGGACAUAGUACGGCGUGAUAAGUGUCUUCGCCGGCUCCUCGCAAAGAGGGUGGCCGAUCGGGAGCUCUGUUGCUUCAAACUGUCUUCGGACAAUCUUCUGGCGACUUGACCUCAAAUCGAGUAUGACUACCCGCUGAACUUAAGCAUAUCAAUAAGCGGAGGA